rnacentral:rRNA from 1 species
AUUGAACGCUGGCGGCGUGCUUAACACAUGCAAGUCGAACGGUAAGGCCCUUCGGGGUACACGAGUGGCGAACGGGUGAGUAACACGUGGGUGAUCUGCCCUGCACUUCGGGAUAAGCCUGGGAAACUGGGUCUAAUACCGGAUAGGACCACUGCCUGCAUGGGUGGUGGUGGAAAGCUUUUGCGGUGUGGGAUGGGCCCGCGGCCUAUCAGCUUGUUGGUGGGGUGAUGGCCUACCAAGGCGACGACGGGUAGCCGGCCUGAGAGGGUGACCGGCCACACUGGGACUGAGAUACGGCCCAGACUCCUACGGGAGGCAGCAGUGGGGAAUAUUGCACCAUGGGCGCAAGCCUGAUGCAGCGACGCCGCGUGAGGGAUGACGGCCUUCGGGUUGUAAACCUCUUUCAGCACCGACGAAGCGCAAGUGACGGUAGGUGCAGAAGAAGGACCGGCCAACUACGUGCCAGCAGCCGCAGUAA